AAGCAACAUAUUUAAAAAUUUAGACAGGAUAUUAAAAUUUAAAGAGUAACUUAAAAGACAAAAUUCUGUCUUUUAAAUUUGGGGUAGUCCAUAUUUAUCACUUAGAAUCCUGAUUGGCUGAAAUUUAAAACCUAUGUUACCAGCCUUUAUGUUAAUAGCCCUGAUUCCACAAAUAGUAAAUUUCUCCAUUAAAAAUAUUAAAAACUUUUGAGAAAUACUAUUGCCCAUACAUUUUCUGGCAUUACAUCUGGUACUUUUAUCAUAAUUAUAAAGAUGGUCAAGAGCAAAAA